rnacentral:lncRNA from 1 species
CGUAAUUCUCGAAUGUAGGAUGAUUUGAGCCUCCUAGAAAUGUGUUUGGAUCUCCGGGAAUUGUCUGACAGCACUUCGUCUUGUCGAGUUGAUCUCCGGGUAGAACUCCGUUAGUCAAUUCGUUGAAAAGUUGUGUAGUCAAUGCAGAAGCUUCCUCCAAUGCUUGCAGAAUGUCCUCCUUUUCCCUCCCUAGAAUGUUAUGUUACUCCCCUAUUUAUAGUUGUAGGGGUAGGCCUAGUUGCUUGUGAUUUGCCGAAACAUGUCACUUUGCCACUUGACGCCUUUUGACUGAUUGUUGAAUUUGAAUGAGAUUUCCACAUCAUUUGUACUUGUGGCGGUGUCUCAUUGGUCUUGGAUUUGACUAGGAUGUCACGUCACUUGAUGAGUUUGGGCUUCAAGGUAAGAUGGACCUUGAUGAAGAAUAAAAUAGGCUUAUUAUUU